rnacentral:piRNA from 1 species
CUGACACAAAGGUUGUAUACACAAGG